UCCUGGUUUCCCAGGCAGUCCCAUCAGAGUGCUUUACCUUACGGCAAUUGCAACUGACAGCAGGGGUUGCGCUCGUUAGAGGACUUAACCCAACAUCUCACGACACGAGCUGACGACAGCCAUGCAGCACCUGUGUAGUUGUCUAGACCGAAGCCUAGAAAGUCGUAUUUCUACGACGGUCAAAAACAUGUCAAGCCUAGGUAAGGUUCCUCGCGUAGUGUCGAAUUAAACCACAUGUUCCACCGCUUGUGCGGGCCCCCGUCAAUUCCUUUAAGUUUUAGUCUUGCGACCGUACUCCCCAGGCGGAUCACUUAACGCGUUAGCUUCGACACUAACCCCAAAAUCGGGGUUAACGUCCAGUGAUCGUCGUUUACAGCGUGGACUAC
rnacentral:misc_RNA from 1 species